UGGGGAAUAUUGCACAAUGGGGGAAACCCUGAUGCAGCCAUGCCGCGUGUGUGAAGAAGGCCUUCGGGUUGUAAAGCACUUUCAGUAGGGAGGAAAGGUUGUAAGUUAAUACCUUGCAGCUGUGACGUUACCUACAGAAGAAGGACCGGCUAACUCCGUGCCAGCAGCCGCGGUAAUACGGAGGGUCCAAGCGUUAAUCGGAAUUACUGGGCGUAAAGCGUGCGCAGGCGGUUUGUUAAGCGAGAUGUGAAAGCCCCGGGCUCAACCUGGGAAUUGCAUUUCGAACUGGCAAACUAGAGUCUUGUAGAGGGGGGUAGAAUUCCAGGUGUAGCGGUGAAAUGCGUAGAGAUCUGGAGGAAUACCGGUGGCGAAGGCGGCCCCCUGGACAAAGACUGACGCU
rnacentral:rRNA from 1 species